CUCUUUUCACUCGACUCGAACCAUUCUCUCUUUCCACUUUCCUCAGCUGUGCAGAAGCGAAGUAAAGAUUGGAUUUCAUUUUGAGGGUUUCGAUCUGAAGCUGAAGCUGAAGGUAAGCGAAUUUAGGGUUUCAGGCUGCAAAUGAAGUUUGAGUUUCAGUUUGAGGGUUUCGGUCUAAAGCUGAAGAUUGUGGGAAUCGCUAGAGCUUCUUGUAGAUAAGAUUGGAGAGCUGCGGGUAUUGCAGAAAGGUUAUUGCUGGAGUUUCGGAAAGAUUCACAGAGGUUAUUACUAGCAGUUGCUCAGAAACCAGACGGAAAGAAGAAUUGCAGAUCAGGAAAGUAGGUCGAAGAACUUCUACGCAGGAAGGAAGUGAAAGAGGCUGCAGAAAAGGAACUUCAGGAGUUUGCUCAGAUACUUAAAUCUGCUAACGCUAUGCCCAAUUCUUCUAAACCUGGCAAAGAGUUUUGGACAUUUGAAGAGAAAAGCCGCCAAAAGAUUGAGGCUCUUGAGGCUUAUGCUAUUGAUGUGUGCAAAAAUGAUGAUUAGAAGAAAAUAGCUGGCACGGUUCUAGUUGAGAAAAUGGGGCUUCUUGAAGGGCUUGAUCGCUCGUCGUCGGCUUUUGAUGUUUUGUCAUGUAAGUGAAAUGAUAUAUCUACUUACCGUUAAGAGUAUAUUCUUCCUUAGUGCUGGAGAGGUAAGUUAUAUUUCUAUAUGUUUAUAGGUCUUUCUUCGUCAUUAUGACUUAAAGCAGUUAUAGGUUUAUAGAAAAACUGAAAUGUAAAUAACUCAAAUGGUAAAAAAAAAUUGAGAAUAAAGUUUUUAUUAUACUUGGACUUGAAUUUAUUCAUGAGCUACUCCAUCUUACAUGGUUUGUGUUGUACUGAAAUGAUCUGAUUAACCUCUAUUUUUUUCACUAUUAAAUCCCUUUACAUUUUGAGACUGAUUUUUUAAUGGUUAACAUAAUGGUUAGCUGGAAUUUGAUCCCUUUAAUGUUAACUGCAUGUCAUGGCAGGGGGAAGGUUCAUUUUUACUUUGUUUUCUUCCUUUUUGUUUUUGUAUUUGAGCUAAGCAUAUUGGUGGUUUUUCUCAUCUGAAGUUUAACUGUAAUUUUUUUUGUUAAACUUCGACAAUGGUUGGGCGUGAACUGAUGCUACUGGGUAAGAUAAUGAAGUGGAGGAAGCCAGGAGAAGUAAAAGUUGGCGCUGAAUACGUUCAGAAGACAGUGGCUGCUCAUAGCAUUUUCAUUGUCAUCCGCAGGCAUCUCUUUGUUUGAUGUGGAGCUGGUGCAGUUGGCUUUGACCAGGAGGCUGGACAGUGCAAAGGGUUUAGUUGUCCAGUUUGCACAUGUUGAAGAUGCUAGAGCUACUGACAGUUUGAAUGGCAAUUAGACACUAUGAGAUCUUCCAGACUUCAAACAACUAAUGACAUGCUUCCAAUCCAGAGAACAAUCCUACAAUCCAGAAACCAUAAACUUGCCAGAAGCUUAAGGCUUUCCAUUCUACUUACCAAGCCAUUUUAUCUCCAUCUGAGGACUAUCAGGCAAUCAACAAACUAUACACACAAUCAUGACCCAGAAAACCCCACAACUGUUAGACGAUUUAGGAGACAACAAAUUAGUUCUCGCAAACAUCAGCUCGAGCAUGCUUUAAAACCUAGAAUUCCUGCAAAAAAAAACAAACUGCACAUAAAACAAUGGACCAGAGAUGCAUGACAAACAAGAUAAGGUUGCUGAGAAGAAAAAGAAGUCAUGGCAAGCUGAAAGGUUCUAAAAAGAAGAGGACAGUCUCAUUCCAGGACAUAUCUCAAAGAGCUAGGAAACAAGCAAAAAUAUUCGCCGGCAAUUACAUGAAUGGUGAUCUGUCUUAACUAACUAUAUUAACAUAAAUUGAUGUUGUCAGUUCUGUAUAAUUCAUUAAUUUCAAUUGAUGAUAUUUCCGACAUUGAUUAGGUGGAAAAGAAGGAAACAAUAAUGAGGAACAGCCUCUCGAUUAUGAAUCAGAGGAAGAAUUCCCAUAUACAUAUAAGUGUAUUCAAUUGGGUCUAAACUAUACGUUGACCUCAAAUAAAACAGUACAUACUUACCAUCCUUUCUGAUUGUCUUUGUUAACCAGUGAUGCCAUCCCAGAAGCAUUAUAUUGGAGGGCCAACUGCAACAUGCCCUCAUUGUCAAGCAAUGAUGUGGGAUGAGGAAAGAGUCAAUAAAAGCCAAAAGAAACAACCACCAGAAUUUGCCAUUUGUUGUGGGAAAGGAGCUGUCAAAUUACCUCUGCUUAAGGAGGCACCUGAAUUUCUGAAAAAACUAAUGCAAUAUGUAGAUGGUGGGCCGCAAGCAUCAAAUUUCAGAUUGAACAUCAGGGCAUAUAAUUCAAUGUUUGCAUUUACCUCACAGGGUGCCAAAGUGUCCAAAGAACAGAACAAUGGUUCAUCGCCAUGGGUGUUUACAAUGUAUGGGCUUAAUCAUCACUUCAUGGGGUCUUUGUUUGCCACUAGAUAGUAAGCCACCUGCAUUCUUACAGCUGUACAUUAUAGACACUGAAAAUGAAGUCAAAAAUAUGAUGAAUGCUAUUACCAAGAAGAAAAAAAAAAAAAGAAAAACAGGAUGGAAAGUCAGGCGCUAAAUCUUCAAUGAUGGCCGUAGACGAAUAUGGAAAGAAAAGCACAAGGGAAUUGAAUGAAAACACUGUUGCUGGCUUAGUUACAAUGCUGGACACACACAACUGGCUAAGCAAAAAUUCAGAAUGUGGAGGGAUAGGUACAGACCAGAUGAACUAAGCGAUGUUGAAUUCCGUCUUAUUGGUACACGAAAAAGGGAUGCGGGGCAAUACAAUCUUCCAACUACAUCGGAAAUAGAUGGAAUUGUAGUUGAUGAUACCGAUUCAAAUGGAAAAAGGGACAUAGUCAUACAGCUAAAAAAUGGUUUACUGAUAGAUAUAUCCGAGUUGCACCCAAGUUAUAUGGCAUUCCAGUAUCCACUAUUAUUUCCUGAUGGUGAAGAUGGUUUUCAUAUUGAUAUUCCAUAUGAUAAGUAAAUUAAAAUUGUGUACGACGACGAAAUGGACGAUGAAAUAGGUAAUGAAAAAAAGAGAAAAAACAUAACUAUGAGGGAAUACUAUGCAUUCAGAUUACAACAAAGAACAGGUGAAGGUCAAACACUUCUCCGGGGAGGACGACUAAUCCAGCAGUAUGUGGUUGAUGCUUAUGCUACAAUUGAGCAAAGCAGAUUGCAGUGGGUUAAAGGCCAUCAAAAAGAAAUACGUUGUGACUUAUACAACGGUAUAAAAGAAGUCGUAAGGGAUGGAGACACUAAACCUGGUAGCGCAGGUCGAGUAAUCUUACCAUCAUCUUUCACAGGUGGGACAAGAUAUAUCAUUCAGCAUUACCAGGAUCCAAUACCCUAAUGCAGAGAGUUGGGUCCCCCUGACUUAUUUAUUACAUUCACAUGUAAUCCGAAUUGACCGGAAAUUUGCAGAAGCUAUCAAAAUGUUCCAUGGGCAAAAGCCAAGUGAGAGAUCAAACAUGAUCAGUCGCGUAUUUCACAUCAAACUGAAACAGUUAAUGUCGGACUUGGUUGGAAGCAGGCAUUUCAGAGAAGUGCAAGGAGCUCUCUAUACUGUUGAAUUUCAAAAACGAGGUUUACCUCAUGCUCAUAUAUUGUUGUGGCUUAAAC